rnacentral:ncRNA from 2 species
UCUAUAUUAGACCUCCGAGCCAGUAAGCCUACGGCUAAAAACCUUAAGCUAUGGCUGCUGGCCUCCUGCCUCCAGGCAGUGACGGGGUAGGCCGGGAAACGGGCCUGCCUCCCGGAUUGGGAAAGGAGCCUUAAGGGAGAAACU